CAGCCGCCGCGGUAAUACGUAGGGGGCGAGCGUUGUCCGGAAUUACUGGGCGUAAAGGGUGCGUAGGCGGCCCUUUAAGUCGGAUGUGAAAGCCCGCGGCUUAACCGCGGAAUGGCAUUCGAAACUGGAGGGCUUGAGUGUCGGAGAGGGUAGUGGAAUUCCCAGUGUAGCGGUGAAAUGCGUAGAUAUUGGGAGGAACACCAGUGGCGAAGGCGACUACCUGGACGAUAACUGACGCUGAGGCACGAAAGCUAGGGGAGCAAACAGGAUUAGAUACCCUGGUAGUCCUAGCCGUAAACGAUGGGUACUAGGUGUGGGUGGUUUCGAUACCAUCCGUGCCGUAGUUAACGCAUUAAGUACCCCGCCUGGGGAGUACGUGCGCAAGCAUGAAACUCAAAGGAAUUGACGGGGGCCCGCACAAGCGGUGGAGCAUGUGGUUUAAUUCGAAGCAACGCGAAGAACCUUACCAGGUCUUGACAUCACCUAGCAAGCCAUGGAAACAUGGCCCUCCUUCGGGACUGGGUGACAGGUGGUGCAUGGCC
rnacentral:rRNA from 1 species